AUAAUACCUGAAGAGAUGUCAAUAUCCCUCCUAGUUCUUCUCUUUGAGUCUUUCACCACUAAGUGUGUAUUUAAUUGAUCUUUGGUGAUGACCCCAUUAGUAGAGAAUGUGCACAUUUAUUUACUAAUUCCCAGGCACUAAGUUGGAUACUGGGGAAUCAGUGGUGACUGACUCUUGCACAACCCCAAUGACCUUCCUUUCCAAUUCUCUCUGCUACUACUUAAGCAGCCACACCUGAUUAGCUGCUGCUCAAACCUGCUUUGCCUGAUGAAUCAUGGUUGCGAAGCUUUAUCUGACUUGUGGCACAAUAAGGGAGCUGAGUCCAUGGAGCUGGACUGGGGAAUGAGGGAUGAUCCUGGAGAGACUAAAGGCUUUGUAAGGGAAUUGACUGUGCUCUGGCCGUCAUCAAAUUGGAAACCAAGGACUCUGUCUAUACAGAAAGUCAGGAUAUAGGAAAAUAAAUCCUGGGUCUUCAGGACUGAGUGGUGUUCUCAAGGUGAACCAAUACCUGCUAUUGCCACAAUGCUCCUGGGUGCUUUCCUGCCCGUGAACAUGCAGAUACAGGCUGGGAAGUCUGUAUGGCACCAACAUCAGAUGAUAGCCUUUAUUUCACAUGAUAACAUGGAAAAGAAAUCAUGGAGUGAGAUACAGCAAGCAUGCCAGAGACAGCCUGCUUUUAUAACAAAGCGACUUCCAAGGUGAUAUCUUCUACAGUGUUAGGACACAGCAAGAAGGCUCUCACCACAUGAAGCCCCUCGAUCUUGGACUUCCCAGCCUUCAGAAUCAUGACCAUAAUAAACUUCUAGUAUUUACAAAUUA